UGCUUUCUGAUUUUUUUUUUG
rnacentral:piRNA from 1 species